UCCUCCUAAAGAGUAACGGAGGAGCACGAAGGUCAGCUAAUCCUGGUCGGACAUCAGGAGGUUAGUGCAAUGGCAUAAGCUGGCUUGACUGCGAGCGUGACGGCGCGAGCAGGUGCGAAAGCAGGUCAUAGUGAUCCGGUGGUUCUGAAUGGAAGGGCCAUCGCUCAACGGAUAAAAGGUACUCCGGGGAUAACAGGCUGAUACCGCCCAAGAGUUCAUAUCGACGGCGGUGUUUGGCACCUCGAUGUCGGCUCAUCACAUCCUGGGGCUGAAGUAGGUCCCAAGGGUAUGGCUGUUCGCCAUUUAAAGUGGUACGCGAGCUGGGUUUAGAACGUCGUGAGACAGUUCGGUCCCUAUCUGCCGUGGGCGCUGGAGAAUUGAGGGGGGCUGCUCCUAGUACGAGAGGACCGGAGUGGACGCAUCACUGGUGUU
rnacentral:rRNA from 1 species